CGGCUGGCAGGCGCAGCGGCAUCGGGGCAUGGGUGUUCAGUACGCUCCUGAAUGCCGCCCUGCUGUGGGGAUUCCUUCACUGCUACGGCACCGCGAGGUUGAUUUCAGUGUGUCAUCUUAUUGGAAAACUAUUAGCCGCAGAAUUUAGCAACAGAAGACGCGCGCGUGGCCUACGGAGAGAAUAACGCGCGCGGUAUGGCCAAGGAAGAGAAACGCGAGUGACUGUCGUGGCUCUCGCCGGACACGAACGGCGCUUGCGCCGGGCUGGUCUGCUUAUAGCUGUUGCUACUCCAGACUCGACGACAAGUGCUAUCCUCAUGAGGCUAGACAAGUCGUUGUGCCAAUCCAGCGAGAGUGUCCAACAGCGGAAAGUCAUCUGAAGAAUCAUGUCCCAGUGAGUAGUCCAGCUCCAGCAACAAGACCACAUCUGGUUUCCACCAAGAAGCUGGACCAGCGGCAUUGUACUCAGGGAGAAAGAGAUCAGAGGACGGAUGGAAGGGAUGGCGACAACGUCAUAUUCGAAAGGGAAUAACGCUGGAAUACCUUGUUGUUGCUACCUGUCAGAGUUCAUAAUUAUGAACUAAAUUACUUGGCACUUCUUAGUUGCCAAACUUGACAGUUGCUAAGACCUUCUGUCGACAAGAUACACAAACAUACAAUUGCAUGGUAAGUUAACGUCUUCUGAUGGAUUUUGUUUGCCUUUCUUGACAAGAAAACUAUAACUAUCUGCUUACAGUUUAUCAAAGGUAAUCUGCCAGCGACAUGAGAAGUAUGUUCAUUGAUUUCAUGUGGACUAACUUACUGGAUGAUUUUAUUAAUUUCUUAUAGCUUCACUCCAAUAAUUCUCCCUAUAUUUUUGGGUAAUUCAUUUCAUCCAAUAGUUGAUAGUUGCUUCAUUAUUACAAAAAUUGAUCAGACCAGGAAAAGAGAUCUUACGAUAGUUUUUUCGUUAUUACGAAAAAUUCAUCGGAGAGAAAAAUAAAUCCUAUCUGAUAGUUUGAUCUUUUUCCCCAUUAUCUGAGAAAAGUUCUCCCUAGAUCGCGGAUGCAAUCGUGGCAUGAGAUUGUUAAGAGUGAAGACAUGCAUAUGGGUACUAUGUAGAGUAUUCGAAGAGGUCAUCUUCAUGAAACUAGCAGAGGAUAGACAUUAGGAAAAAUGAGAGACGAGGUGAGUUUUUGUUGUUCACCAUCCAAUUCAAGCAUCACACAAAUUAAGCAUUACUAUUCAAAGGAUGCAUAGUUAACCUGUUCAUCUUUUCUAGAGGAAUUAAUAAGUUAUUAAAAUUUGUGUCCCGUUGCAACGCACGGGCUCUUUUGCUAGUCUCUCCCUAAUAAUAAAGCACGGAUUGGGUCUCCGGGUUCACCGUGGCGCCGUUUUUGCAAAAUAAUGCCUGCACUUUUUAGUAAUUUGGCCCGCAGUCCUCAUAUUAUAUUAACUGAACCUGAAGCGAUACGAGCGAGAGAAAAGAAAAACAAACCGAGCCACCAGCCCACGACCCUUCCUCUCUCGAUCUCAUCUAGACCUCCUGCUCCGCCCCGCCCCGCCCCUCACCGCCGUCCGCGGCCGCGCGCCGCCGCCCCCUACUCCGCCGGCGCGCUUACCCAUUACCCCAAGUGCCAACACACCCGCGCCCAUCGACUACGGGCGACCCGCGGCCUUCCACCGCCGGCGACGCUCGACGUCGCGGCCAUUGGCGGCUCCCCGGCCCUGCUACCAUGGCGCCUCCGGGACUCCUCCCCGCUCCUUCCACCUCGACAUUGGUUUUCCCAACCCCGCCGGCUUCGCCACCAGCCACUCCUUCCAGGCGCACUCUAUCCGCCGUCGUCGGACCCAUCCGACUGGUUCCAAUGGCGAACAUCGACGCGAUUCACCCGCCCACCAUCAGAUGCGACAGCAAAUCCAUAGCCCCUGGCCAUCUCCUCCGCCGCCGGCGCCGGUGCCUCGAAGGUCAAGGGAAGACCCUCUACUCGGCCCCCAUCGCCGUCCGCACCGCCGCCCUUUGCCGCCGCCACCACCGCCGUCCAAAUCGCCGCCCCCAUAGCCGUCCAAACUACUCUCCGCAACACCUCUCCAUCCCACAGCUGCCGAAGACAGGGAGGAGGACGAGGCUGGCUAGGCAGGGAGGCCGAAGGUGAAGUGCAGUGGGAGGCACAUCGGUUUGUGCAGAGGGAGGUCUAUGGUCAGCUCAUUGGAAUCUCACAGGCCACCACGGGGAGAGCAAUCACGCAGGCACAUCAACCUCCCCCGCCAGGUAUGUUCAAUUGAACCUUCACUAUUAGUUGAGCUAACCGUCUCCAACAGCAACGUCCCAAUCACAAAUAAUUAUUUAGGUUUCUUACUGUGUGCGUGGAUGUGGCAUUGGAAGGAUAGAUGGCAGUACUCGUGUGGAUGCAACAACUGACUGUUAGUUUGUUCAUUCAGAGACUACCACGAACCAGUUUGAUUUGUGCUAUAAUGCUCUUGCAAAUAAUUAUAGAUGUUGGUGAAAACUGCAGAUGUUGUGGUGUUCAGGAAGGACCGUAGAUACAGCAGCGGUCCAUCCGCAACCGCGGCCACGGGUGCCUAAUCUAAGGCGACCUCCUGUUUUGACAUCGUCCUUGGUAGCUGCAAGCGUGGAAACAACCUUGGCAGUGCAGCGGCAGCCACAAGGUUGUUCCUAGACCACUCCACCUCUGAACUGUACAACCUGCUGUGCUUUCUAGCUAUUCUAUUUAUAUGUAGCCAUACAUUGGUACAGUUAAUUCAUAAACAUGAUUCAAUAGGAUUUGAUAUUUUUUCAUGUCUCAAGUUUUUAGCUCUUCCCUCUUGGUGUGCAAAUCUUUUAGAGGGAAUUUGGUGUGCCAAUUAUUUUCCUGAUUACUGUAGUUGUAGUUUUUCUCACUGUUAGAGCAGAGUAAAAUUCAAACUAUGAUAUUAGUGGUGGUUAGCUGAUAACUUGCUCAUAACAGGGGGCACACUAAUCUUCUUUCUUUUCUUCUCUAACAAAGUCUUAAUAUUAUAAGAAUGUUGUUUUCUUCUUUCAUAAUCUGACAAAUAAAAUUUCCCCUAAUUUCAGUUUGGAUAAGUCAAGGUUGCUUUUGGAUCUUAGUAGAAGAUAGACGUUAUGGAUUUAGACAAAAAUAGAUGUGGAUUUAGGGGUUCCGUAUGAUACUCAUGUCUUCUCUAUUUGGGGUACAAGUUCAAGUGAUCUUUUAGGCUACUAUUGAAGGGAAAUAUGUAUGCCGUUUUGUUCAUUUCAUCUCCACCUACCCACCUCGCAUCUACACAAUCCAACUACUCAAAGGAACAUACAGUUCUAGAAGUGAGAACUGUUGAGCUAUUAUAGCGCAGUUUUGGGAUGAUGGAUGUUCAGGCCAGCUAUGCAGACCUUAAGGUAAAUGUUUUUCCAGCUAAUUAACAUGAAAUGUCUUGUAACUUGAACUAAUAAUGAACAACUGAGGAAUGCUGCCUGAAUGAAUCCAAAAUGUGUUGGAAACACCAACGUCCAGUUGGAGAGGGAGCUAUCUGGAUCUCCAUCCAACUAGGACAUGUCUGCUUACAACUUUUUGUUGAACAUGAUAUUACAUGAUUCUAUCAAAGAUAACUCUCCUUUCUUCAGUGUACAUGCAUGAUAUUACAUGAUUAAACAUACCAUUUUUAACUUCAUUUAGUUGUCUAUAUUAUGCUCUAUGUGCUAUCACCAACAAAAAUAGUGUUACCUCCGUACCAGGCCUACCAAAUAUCUUAUAUUUUGGUACACAUGUAGUAUUUUUAGCCUGCAAAGCGACUCCUAUGCCCAGUGUGCCAAUAAUGUGUUUGCACCAGUGAAGAGAUAACUUAUUUUUUACAUUGUAAGAAAUACAUCCUGUUUCUUCCCCAUCAUUUAAGUGUGUGGCAUGCUAUCUUUGUUCAUGUUGCUGGCUGUACAUUUUCAGUAUUGUCAGGAUAUAUCUGAUUAUGAUGAUGUUCAGUACUACUUUGGAGCCGCAACUUUUUGGACUGCUUGAUGUUUAUAACCAAUGAGACUACUUUUUUGGUUGUUGGCUGGAGCUAUCACUAUGACUGGAUUUGUUUUCACCCAAGUAGAUUUAUAUGGUCAUCAAAAACCAACGACAGGUCAACACUUGUCAGCAGUUUGCAAUUUGUAUUACAGUAUGCCUAAGCCAAUGGUCAGACAAUGUUGUUUUAGUUAGGAAAUGUAGAAAAUGUGGUCAUGAUUUAUGUAGAUUCGACAGUCCCUUCAAACUGCAGUCUUCAACCUUGAGUGGACCAUCUAACUAUAUGUUUCCUUGUAGAAAAUUGACUAUAUGUUCCAUGAAUUGACUGAUUAUUUUGGCCCGAUCAGAUUAAACUAGGUCUUGAUUUGAAGGUCCAGCUAAGGCAGCUGGUGCUGGUUUAUUUGUUGUAAUACUAACUGUGCUAUUUAGACAGAGACAUGUGGUCUUUCUCAUUCCUCGAAAUUUUCCUUUGCUACCAAGAUUUUCCAUUCUAGGUUGUGGAAAAAUACAUGUAGCAUUCCUUCUACAAGUCGUCAUGAGCUGGGACAUAGAAGAAGAGAGCCGACGAGAAGUCGCACAGCGGUUCGCUCCGGUGUGGCUGCCAAUGGCGUUGCGCAAAGUGCAGAUUACAGGCUAGAUGCGUACGAGUCUGUCCCUACUUCCACGACGUGGAAGCAAAGGAAAUCGAGUCAAUUAGAUAGUAUAUUUGGUUAUGUAAGUUGUCUUUUGUGUAUGCAGUUUUACCAUUAUUUUGUAAAAGCUUUGAGUUUUUGAUAAUGUAAUUGUCUUACUAAUCACACUUUUAAUCUAUUCGUGCCAAGGCUAACAGCCAAGUUAUGCACAAGCUGUUGAUGUUUCCUUGA